rnacentral:rRNA from 1 species
GACGAACGCUGGCGGCGUGCUUAACACAUGCAAGUCGAACGGAGGAUUUAUUUCGGUAAAUCCUUAGUGGCGAACGGGUGAGUAACGCGUGGACAAUCUGCCCUUCAGAUGGGGUCAACAUUCCGAAAGGGGUGCUAAUACCGAAUACGAUCGUUUUCCCGCAUGGGAUUACGAUGAAAGAUGGCCUCUAUUUAUAAGCUAUCGCUGAAGGAUGAGCCUGCGUCUGAUUAGCUAGUUGGUGGGGUGACGGCCUACCAAGGCGAUGAUCAGUAGCCGGUCUGAGAGGAUGAACGGCCACAUUGGGACUGAGACACGGCCCAAACUCCUACGGGAGGCAGCAGUGGGGAAUAUUCCGCAAUGGACGAAAGUCUGACGGAGCAACGCCGCGUGAGUGAUGAAGGUUUUCGGACUGUAAAGCUCUGUUGUUUAGGACGAAAGUGCCUGUUGCAAAUAGUUACAGGUAUUGACGGUACUGAACGAGGAAGCCACGGCUAACUACGUGCCAGCCGCCGCGGUAA